rnacentral:misc_RNA from 1 species
GGAGAAGAAGAACAAGGUAAAUCAUCUUUAUUCUGUGUUUGCAUUCCUUUCUUUUCUUCUCUCUGUUUUGUUUUUUAAGUGCUAUUGACAAUAAAGCAAAGAAUGAAGGAACUUCCUUCUAACCUAGAAAUCCACUUUGCUAGCAAGGAUAUUUCAUAUCAUAUGAUGAUUUUUCCCCUCUUUUUCAAGAACUGGUGUGUAAGAUGUUUUUAACAUCCUUUUAUGCCAAGCAGGUAAUUAGCAAGCAGGAACGCC